AAUCUGGGGUCCACGGCCCCCGAGUUGUAAUUUGGAGAGGCAUCUUCGGGGGGGAGCGCCGGCCAAUGUUCCUUGGAACAGGACGUCGCAGAGGGUGAGAAUCCCGUGCCGGGCCGGCUGCCUCCUCCCGGGUGAAGGGCCUUCGACGAGUCGAGUUGUUUGGGAAUGCAGCUCCAAGUGGGUGGUAAAUUUCAUCUAAAGCUAAAUACCGGCGGGAGACCGAUAGCGCACAAGUAGAGUGAUCGAAAGAUGAAAAGCACUUUGAAAAUAGAGUCAAAAAGUACGUGAAAUUGUUGAAAGGGAAGCGCUUGAGACCAGACUCGGGCCCGGGCAAACAUCGCGUCCCUCGGGGCCGUGCAAUUGCCCGGGGCUGGGCCAGCAUCAGUUGGCGUGGCGGGACAAAGGCGCGGGGAAUGUGGCUCCCCUCGGGGAGUGUUAUUAGGCCCGCGCUCAAUGCCGCCGACGCCGACUGAGGACCGCGCCUAGGCUUGGAUGCUGGCUUAAUGGCCUUCAGCGACCCGUCUUGAAACACGGACCAAGGAGUCUAACAUCUAUGCGAGUGUUUGGGCGUCAAACCCUCGCGCGGAAUGAAAGUGAGCGGAGGUGGGAACCCCCCCAGCGGGGUGCACCAUCGACCGAUCCUGAUGUCAUCGGAUGGAUUUGAGUA
rnacentral:rRNA from 1 species